rnacentral:rRNA from 1 species
AUUGAACGCUGGCGGCAGGCUUAACACAUGCAAGUCGAGCGGGGAAGGGUAGCUUGCUACCUAACCUAGCGGCGGACGGGUGAGUAAUGCUUAGGAAUCUGCCUAUUAGUGGGGGACAACAUUUCGAAAGGGAUGCUAAUACCGCAUACGCCCUAAGGGGGAAAGCAGGGGAUCUUCGGACCUUGCGCUAAUAGAUGAGCCUAAGUCGGAUUAGCUAGUUGGUGGGGUAAAGGCCUACCAAGGCGACGAUCUGUAGCGGGUCUGAGAGGAUGAUCCGCCACACUGGGACGGAGACACGGCCCAGACUCCUACGGGAGGCAGCAGUGGGGAAUAUUGGACAAUUGGGGGAACCCUGAUCCAGCCAUGCCGCGUGUGUGAAGAAGGCCUUUUGGUUGUAAAGCACUUUAAGCGAGGAGGAGGCUACCGAGAUUAAUACUCUAGGAUAGUGGACGUUACUCGCAGAAUAAGCACCGGCUAACUCUGUGCCAGCAGCCGCGGUAA